rnacentral:lncRNA from 1 species
AUUCUUGAUAUGUUCUAAUACUUGGAUUAUUUAUCAGUAUUCGAUGUAUAACCCGAGGUGGUUAGCAGUGGUCCUUGAAGGUGGUUGGAGGCGGUUGUUCGUGAUCGAGGUAGACGACGAGAAGGACGAGUAUUUGUGCAUGUAUUCGAGGUAUGACCCGAGGUGGUUGGAGGUGGUCGGAAGUGUUUAAGGGAGGUUGCGGGGGAUCGAGGUGGAUGAGGAGAAGGACGAAAAGGAGGAGGAGGAGAUAGAUGAGGAGAAAAAAGUGGACGAGGAGGACGAGGAUAACGAGGAUUUCUGCACUUGAUCGAGGUAUAACCCGAGGUGGUUAGCCGUGGUCGUUAGAGGUGGUUGGCAGCGGUUGGAGGUGAUCGGAGGUGGACGAGGAGGAGGACGAGGAAGACGAGGAUUUGUGCUCGGUAUAACCCGAGGUAGUUCGCGGUGGUUGCGGGUGAUCGAGGUGGGCGAGGAGGAGG